rnacentral:lncRNA from 1 species
GAGAGUGACAUUCCAAUUUUCUCCCAAUUCUAUUGGAAGGUCAAUCUUAAAUGCUGUAUAGGAGGAUCUCAUUGAGAAGAUAUCAUUUGAGCAAAGAUGUAAAGCAAGGGAGGGAAUGAGUCAGUGGCUACAUAGCGAGAGUGUCCUAGGCAGAGGAAACAGCUUCUACAAAAGCCCUGAAGCAAGAGAAUGUUUGAAGUGUUCAAGAAUAAACAGGAGAUGCAGAAUGAAUGGAAUUGAGAGUGAGUGAGGCAGUCGGAUACAAGAGAGACUAAUAUGGGGCAGCACUGAAGACUGCUGACAGCAGCCACAUGAGUGAGCUCAGAGUGGACACAACAGCCCCUUCAGAGGCUGCAGGGAUGGCAGACAGCCUGACUGCAAUGUCGUGAAAGAUGCUGAGGCAGAACCAUGCAGCAAAGUCAUUCCCAGAUUCCUGACUCUCAGAAAAUGUGCUAAAGAGGAGGUAUCUCAUGCUGAAGAGAGCAAGGAACCAGGGAGACCUGGUUUUCUAAUUCCUCUGCUACAUGGUAAUAAUAGUCCUUGGGUAAG